CUCAAUCUCUCGACCUCGUGAUCCACCCGCCUCGGCCUCCCAAAGUGCUGGGAUUACAGGCUUGAGCCACAGCGCCCGGCCCAAUUUUUUGUAUCUUUAGUAGAGACGGGGUUUCACCAUUUCAACCAGGAUAGUCUCGAUCUCUUGACCUCGUGAUCCACCGGCCUCGGCCUCCCGAAGUGCUGGGAUUACAGGCGUGAGCCACCGGAAACUUUAAAAAGGAACUUUUCUACUUCCCACACUUAGCGAGACCUCGGGCCAACCAGGGAAGCUGCAGUUUCAAGAAUGGCCACCAGGUGGGGCACACACCCCAAACAUGGUGACACCUGCCGCCAACCUGGAUCCCAGAGAGCGGGUGGGGUUCUUCCGAGCCCAGCAGCGCCCAGCCAGGCCCUCCCCAUCGUGCCACAGUCCCAUGCAGCCGGGGUCAAAGGGGCCCGAAGACUCAGCGCAGUCCUUCAUCAGAUCAGCAAACAUUUUUUUUUUUUUUUUCUGAGACAGGGUCUUGCUCUGUAAGCCAAGCUGGAGUGCCCUGGCAUGAUCAUAGCUCACUGCAGCCCCGACCUCCUGGCUCAAACCAUCCUCCCACCCCAGUCUCCACAGGCACGCGCCACUACACCUGGCUAACUUUUGUAUCUUUUGUAGAGAUGGGGGUCUCACUAUGUUGUCCAGGCUGGUCUCAAACUGGGCUCAAGGGAUCCUCCUGCCUCAGCCUCCCAAAGUGCUGAGCAGACAUUUUUGAGCAUCCUCUCUGGACCAGAGAGAGAAAGGACUGUGUCCCCUGGCCACACAGCAGGCCUUACCUCUCCCUCACCUUGUCUGCCCUUGGGGCAUGGAGACCUGGAGCUGGGAAGAUGCAUCCUUCAGGACCUCCUGGGGCCUCCUGGGAGGCAUAUUGGGAAGCAUUUUCUCACAAGCCUGGUUCUUGACCCUAAGCAGAGAGACAGUAGGGUGUGAGAGAGGGAUUUGGAGCUAAGCAACUUCAGCUGUGGCCUGGCUGUGUCACUUUGGGCAAGGGACCAACCUUCUCGAGCCUCAGUUUCCCCACAUUUAAAAUGGGAACGAAAGCAGUUCUUGGUAUUAGUGAUGUUCACACGUGCAAAACUGGCUUGUAAGUUGUAAAACCAACAACUACAAGGUGAUGUGAGCGCCUUUGUCUGUUCGGGGAGGCCCAGGUAGGUUUUGGAAAGGUCCCAUGAGUCAGGGUCCUGAUGGGGGUGUGUGUCUUCCCUACCCCGACUCCAAGGUGCUAGAUCAGACCCAAGCUAAUGGGGUGGUGAUCUGAUCUGGGAGGCCAAGGACACAGGCUGUGAGGACCUAGGUGGGCUCAGAACGCCCGGGGGUAGGCAGCUGUGUGGGACCCCAGGUUCCGCCACGGGAAGGGGGCGCUGCUGCGGUCACCCCAUCGCCCACAACCGCCAGGACCCCCGGCACGCAGCCCCAGAGAAGCCCAGCGCCUGCUGCAUCCUCACCCGCCCCUCCAGCCUCGUGGGGUCCCGGCCCAGGGAGAGAGGGCGGCGUGAGAGCCUCGAGGAUGGGCGGGAAGGCCCGGCAAGGCUGGGGGGCUGAGAGGGAGGGGCAGGGUGUGACCCGCGGGUCUUUGUGACGUGGUGGGGGAUUGAGUGUGACGCCCACAGCGGGGGCGCAGGGCCGCAGCACAUAACUUUGGGCUACAGCCAGGCCCUCCCCAGUAGGCACCAUGGCGCGCCCUGUCCCGCGCCCCGGACCCCGCAGCCGCGCCUGCUCCAACAGCUGCCUGGGACCCGGACUGGGACCCCAACCCGAACCCCAACCCGGGCCCGGCCCCAAUACCGCCGACUGCUGCCCAUCAGGGCCCGAGGCCCCCGCAGGCCGCCGCCCCCGCGUCCCCCGCCGUCCGUGGAGCCCCACGCCCCGAGCCAGCCGCCGGCGCCCGCGGGGCGCACAGUGCGAGGGGCCGCCCCAGCACGUUGCUCUGGGCAACCGCAGGACGCUGGGUGGCGCCAAUGCGGACUGGGGCGCGAUGGGAGCCACUGACCCAGUCCCCGCAAGGCUCGUAUGACCUGUGUCUUGUGCCGACCUCCCGUCUCAUCCUGUGACUUGGAAUGUCUUCACCACCUGGGAAUGCAGCAGCCGGGGAAAAAAGAUUUUUUCCAUCUAUGGACGCUACCCGGUGGUGCGUGCGGCUCUACGGAGGAAGGGCUGGGUGGAGAAGAAGCUCCAGGAUGGAGGCACCGGGGUUGCUGCUAGGGUAUUGGAGGUGUGAGUCUCAGUGCAGGGCAUGCCAGUCUGCCACUGGCAUGGUGGGGGGAGGGUCUGUGCCAACCUGAGCGUGCUGCCUGCCCUCGGGUCCUGGUGUGCAUGAUGGAAUCUCUCCGACUCCAGGUCUCCAUCGUCCUCCUGGCCUCCCUGCCCCAGGUGGUCAUGCAGGGCAAACCCUUUCAAGCCCCUGGCACUGCUCCCUUCUCAGUGUCCCCGUGGCCCCCACUCAGGCUGGGCCUCGUCCUGCUGCGGUGGUUUCCGUAGUCCUGCUCUGCCCCGUGCAGCCAUCCCUCCUCUGGCUGCAGCUUCCUGAAGUCCACUCUUCAGGCCCCCACGGUACCCGCUGCUCCUCACUGACCCUCUGCACAACUGUGUCUGUGUCCUCUUGGCCCCAGUGAGACCCAGAUCAAAUGUCCCCUUCCGCACCCCAGGACAUCUGGGCCCCCAGGAAUCCUGGGACCUCAUGCUCUGUCACAGCCCUGGUGGGAUUGCUGUCCUGUGGAUGCUCACUGGAUGUGUGGGGGCCGCCGGGAUGUCCCCAGCCUGACUCAGCACCCACACAGGCACGGGCUCUGCCAGGAGAAGCCUGACUCAGCACCCACACAGGCACGGGCGCUGCGUCUCGUUGGCAGAUCGUAAACGUGAGGUCAAGGAAAAUCAAGAAACGGCUUUGGAGAGAGUAGAGAACACCCACAAUGUGAUGGUAGGUCCCCUGCGUGCAUCCUAAUCAGUCAGCCUCAGCCGAUGUGAUGGCACAUCCCCUGCAUGCAUCCUGAUCAGCCUCGGUCUCUCCACAGCUUCUCACACCAUCACCCUGCUCUGUGCCCACUUGCCCAUGUCCUGGGGAAUGGCAGCCUGGUGGGGGCAAAACCUCAGUCACAGCAGGGCCCCUUGACCCUUGAUUCAAGGGCUCACCCCACCCCUUUGGUGCUGGAUGAGCCGCUGUGCAGGGGGCAGACCUGGUGCGCCCAGCUCCUUCUACCCACACUGGGCUGGCCUGCCGAGUGCUCGUGGAAGCUGAGGGCCUUCCCGGCGUGUGUGUUGCAGGCCAGGCCUGGCCAGCGAGUGAGCUGGGGUCUCCAGCAACACAGCAGUGUGCCCUCCCACCGCCCCAGCCCAGUCUGGUUUCUCGGGGACACCCCACACUCCCCCAUAAAGAGGGCGAAAGGGAAACCAGAGUGGGAGCCAGCAUUUGUAGUGCUUACAGUUUAAAAGAUCAAAUAUCCAGGGUAUGUAAAGAACUCACAAGUCAGUAAUGAAAAGGCAAAAUGGGGCCAGGCGUGGUGGCUCAUGCCUAUAAUCCCAGCACUUUGGGAGGCCAAGGUGGGUGGAUCAUGAGGUCAAGAGAUCGAGACCAUCCUGGUCAACAAGGUGAAACCCUGUCUUUACUAAAAAUACAAAAAAUUACCUGGGCAUGGUGGUGCGUGUGCCUGUAAUCCCAGCUACUCGGGAGGCUGAGGCAGGAGAAUUGUUUGAACCCAGGAGGCGGAGGUUGCGGUGAGCCGAGAUCGCGGGCACCCUUUUGCCUGUGCCCGCGGGUAUCAGAAUGGUUGGGGCAGCACCUGGACCCCAGUGCAGGAGAAGUGAUGUGUGGGGUGCCUGGUGGAGGCUCAGAUAUCCGUGAGCCCAGGGUGGAGAGACCCCUGCCUCACCCAGUCCCCUCAUGGGCAGGAUGGCAAGAGCCCGUGGUGUCCUCGGGAGCGUGCUGUCCACAGGGCAAUGUCUGCCAGCCUCUGUCUUUGACUGUUGUGUGACCCUCGCUUGGUGUGAGGGGCUGGGGGACCUGAUGGCUGGGCAGGAGUGGGGGCUGCUUUACAAGGGAGUGAGAAUCCAGGGAGGCCCAAGAGUCACUUAACAGAGACCUUGCCGGGGGUUCAACUCUGGCCCAGGCUGGGGGCUGUGGUCACGCUGGAAGUCACACCCAGAAGAGGACCUGGGAGGAGCCAGCCUGGGGCCUUGACUCUUACCCGCCCGCUGCCUCUGGUCAAGUGUGCCUGGAGGGGGUCCAGGAACUCACCUGCACAAAAGCAACUCCUAUGCAGUGGGAAGCCAGGGCCCCUUCCAGCCACUGUCCCCGGACUUCCAGCUGAGAGCCAUGUGCCGUGUGCUGUGUGCCGUGUGCCUGGCCAAUCUCGGGGCCUCUCUAAGCUGCUUCUGCAUCUGGGACAUAAACACGCAUCCCAGUGAUGGGAGAGUCCCUGACAUCAGGUCAGAUACGUACUGACAGAAAUUAAAGAAAGGGGUUAAAUGUUAGCACGGUAGGUCUGAACCCUGAUGAGCUCUUUUUGCCAAAAUGCUCUUCUACGUGCCUGUAUCUUUUUUCUGUGGAUCCACUUCCCAGUGGAAAUAUAACAUAUACAGUCAUGGGCGGUCUCAUCCCCCCCCACGAACAAGGCGGAAAGUUCCUGGGCCAACACGCCUACAGUGGAAGUGAAAAUGCUUCUGAUGUGCAUACGGCAUAGUGCAGUCUCCUAAACCAUGUUAGUAGUUCUAAAUCCUGUUUAGAAAUAGGGCAAGAGUAGAACUAAUUACUGACGAUUUUAGGUAGGUGACUGUUUCUCACCCUGUGUCACCAGCGUCCCCUGGCCACAUGCAGAUGGGGAAACUGAGGUGCAGGGAGGCUCUUGCCAGCAGUGCCUAGAUGGGGGCCCUGGGCUGGUGGGCUUCUGCCCUGCCCCCAAGUGCAUUCCAUGGCAUCUGCCCACUGGACUGAGGGUUGUCCUGGGCUGUGUCAGCAGGGGAGCCAGGAGAGUCCCCCCAGCUGGCCUGGGUUCCUCUGGCAGGGCGUGGGAGUCCUUGGAGAUGAGGUUCUCUAGAGCCAGCUGAGUGGGCACAGCACUGCUGGGAGGACCAGCCUUGGGCGCCUUCCUGGGCUGAUGGAGGCUGAGCACCUGCCCCUCGACCGCCGCCCCCCCACCCCACACAGCACCAUCCACUGGUGCAGCAACGUGGUCCAGAAGCACCUGAAGAAUGAUGGGGGCCGCAGCCCUCUGCUGCCAGCACACAACAUGUGGACCAGCGCCAGGUUCCAGAAGUACCUGCAGCGCUGGGGCUGCGGCGCCGCGUGGGGCAGCGCCAUUUACCCGUCCAUGAAGAAGGCCAUCGCCCACGUCAUGAAGGUGGCGCAGGAUCACGUGGAGCCUUGUAAGAACAGCUUUGAGCUCUACGGGGCCGACUUCAGGCCCUGGCUGAUCGAGAUCAACUCCAGCCCCACCAUGCACCCGUCCACUCGUCACGGCCCAGCUGUGCGCAAAGGUGCAGGAGGACAUCAUCAAGGUGGCCGUGGACAUCGCAACUUCCAACUCCUGUGCAGGCAGGUGAGCCUUGCCCUCCCCUGCCCAGGUGGUGGGUGCCAUCCUCUGGGGGGUUUGGCGGCAGCCCCCCGUGUGGACGCUUUGCCACCUGGUUACUCAGCGAGGGUGGAGCUGCAGGCCGCCAGCUCCAGAGGGUCCAUGGAGGAUGCCAAUACUACUCCGUGACUCCCACUCCGUGACCCAGGCCUGCCCUGCCCUCCCGUGGGACUCGGUGCCUCGUUGGCCUUGAGGAAGGGGCUGCUACAGGCGUCUGGGUGGGCGGGGCGGCCCUGCUGGCUCGGCUCAGAGCUCCAUCCAGCUUUCCUCCCUCGUUCCCAGCCCCGCCCAGCCCUGACUGAUGUUGGAGGUGGGGGCUCCAUGCCGGCAGCCUCCAGGCCCAUCAUGCUGCUCCUUCGCUUUGGCCUGCAGUGUCUUCCACUCCGAGGCUCUUUUGGGGGCCUCCUUCUCCCCUUGGGAACUUCCUGGGGGGGUGAGGCCUGUGCCUGGAGACAUGCUGGAGCCAUCAGGAAGUGUGGCCGAUGCCUCUCUCUUGAGGCCUCUUUGUAGCUAAACUGGAGAAGUGGGCAGCCCAGUCCUUGGGUGUGGGGCCCCCUAGAUUGCCUCUCAAGCUUCAGGAAGCCUUGGCUCCCUAAAGGCUCUACAGAGCCUGGGAGCCUCCUGAGGGUCUGCAUGGGACCCCAGGUAUUCACUCCUGAGUCGGGCGGGGGUCUGUGCCCGACCAGCCCCUCCUGCACAGACUCCACCAUCCUGGCCACAUCCCAGCACCUCCAACCUGUGCCUUCCCCUCAGCCUGUGGUCAAGCUGCCGCCAUUCAGCAGGUCUGACCUCUGUGUGGUGGGCAUUAGCAUGAGGAGGGCAAGGAGGCAGGUGCUGCCUGUCUGCAACCUGAAGGCCUCCGCCUCGCUGUGGGAUGCACAGCCGCUGAAGGCACGGUGCCCCCUCGCCAUGCCAGACCCCACGCAGGGACCCACACGACCGGCUCUCCAGCAAGACCUCGGACUGAAGGAUGAGAAGGGGCUCCCUCUGGCCUUGCUGGCACCCCUAAAAAGGCCAGCCGAGAGCGGCAGAGCCGCGCAGCCCACCCGCACCAAGGCUGCCGGGAAGGCAGAGCUCCCUGCCUGCCUCUGCCACCACGUGGACAGUCAGGCCCUGAACACUGGUGACCCCAAAGCCCAGCCUACCAAAUGCUCAGAUCCAAACCUUUUUAAUGUGCACCCCCUGGCGCCUGUGCUGCAGGGCCUGAAGACAGAGGAGGAUGCCCUGCGUCCACCACCCAGAGCCCCAGGUUCAUGACAGAGUCAGACGCUCUGCGGCCGGAGUCCAGGUUGCAGCCGCGCUCCCUCUGAACGUCGAAUUCGUCCUUCCACUGUCCCGUCUUCACCGUGGCUCUCAGAGCAUCGGCAGAGCUGCCAUCCCUCCAAGGGGAGCUGUCUGUCCUACCUGCCAGCUUUAAUAUGAUAUCUGAGUACUCACUUUGGUUUUCCUUUAUUCAGCCUGGAAUUUGAAUGUCUUCGAUGUGUGCCGUGUGUCAUUAUUCAGUUAUGGGAGUCUCUCAGCCACCGUGUCUUUAAAUGUUGCCUCCACCCCGUUCUGUCCCCUUCCCUUUGGAACGCAGACUAAAUGCUUGCUAAGCCUUCUCACUUUCCCUGUGUCUCCUGAUCUCCCACGUCUGUGUUUGAUUUAUGUGGCUGCCUAGGCUGCGUUCUGAAAACGUCUCCUCGCCUGUCUCCCGUUCAUUUCAGGGUGCUACCAACCCACUGAAGUUGUAAUUUCUCAUCGUUUUCAUUUUCACAAGUUCUACUCUUUAAUACAUUAUUGGAUCUUUUUUCUUUUUUUUGAGACAGGAUCUCACUCUGCCGCCCAGGCCGGAGGGCAGUGGUGCAGUCACAGCCUCCACUGCAGCCACCAACUCUCGGGCUCAAGCGAUCCUCCCACUUCAGCCUCCGGAGUACCUGGGACCACAGGCAUGCACCACGCCCGGCUGUUUUUGAUUCAUCCUGCACCCAGUGGUUUGGGCCUCCCAUUUUGUGGGGGGUGUGAGGUGUCUUCUGUCCCCACACACUGGGGUCUUGGGACCCAGAGCUCCAGGUGGCCCUGGUGGUGAAAUGUCAGAGGAAGGAACUUUGGGGCCUGGUACCUUUCAGAGCGCCCUCACCUCCGGCUCACCUUCCCUGGCCUGGCCCAUCUUCCCUUACCAUCUUACCUGCUGCUUUUCCCCAUUUUUAUGAUGCUUUUCCUACCUUAUGCUCCUGUUUGGUGGUUUUCUCUGGAAGGACUGGUCUGGGAGUCCCAGACCCCCCGUUACUGAGUGCACCCUAUGGGCUCCCUGGAACCUGCUGGCGCCCCACUGUGACUCUGACUCCAGCCCCAGCCUCCGUAGAGGGUUGGAGCCCAGGCCUGGACCUCCCCUCCCUCAGCAGGGCCCAGGCCCCACACCAGCUGCUCAGCCAGCUCAUGCAUGUUCCAUUGACCACACACAGACACACGAAGGGCCACAGACACCGAGUCCCCUAUCCUUGGCUUAGGGCAGGCCCAACCUCAGCCCUGACUCACUGGACACACUUUCUGGGCACCCUGGUGGGUCCCAGCUGGCCCUGGGUGUGUGGGGACAGAGCCCUGCCCAACAGCACUGCCUGGCCUGCUGCGCCGAAGUUCCCUAGCUGAUUUGACCUGCCAGCCCUCGGCCCAGCCUCCCUGCAUCUCCCCUCUGGGAUGAGAGCCCCAAGGAGCGGGAGCUGCUCCCACCUCGUUCUUCCUGCUGUUCAUGCCCUGCUUGUGCCACGCAGGCCCUGGCCCGUCUCGUGUGCCAGGCUGGCCCAGCCCUUCCAGGAGACCCAGUUUCAGGCGCUGCUCAGCUUCCACCUGAGGUUCCCGGAAGCCAAGGGCUGCUUUGCAUAGGCACUGGGGGCUCUCCCCACCCAGACCGUGAGGAAGAGUGACUCAGCCUGGGGCCCGGAGUUUGCUCUCAGUAGUGGGUGCCCCAGCACUUCUCGGCCAGGCUGCAGCUGCUUGGGAACUUUUAGCCCCAGAGGCUGGGAAAACUGGGGAGUCUCCCCUUUAUCCCACAUUCCUGCCCCACCCUGGGAUUCCUUCUGUCCCUCCCCCACCAGGUACAGCUGCAACAAGUGUAUAGGCUGGGCUUCCCUUCACCCUUCCUGGCCUUGGCAACCUGAGGUUGACUCAUGGCCCCAGUACAUGGGGGAUGGGGAUUGGCACAGGCUCACCCCACUGAGGAGGGCUCGCCAGAGACCCGAGACAGCCUCAGGGCAAGGCCAGUGGCUGGAGGCCAGCGAGAGCCAGGCCAAGGUCCCAGCAUCUCCGGUUGAGAGGGCCCCUCUGGGAAAAGACGCAUGGUGGCCACACCUGCCGCCCUUGCCUGUCCUGGGACACUCGAGAAACGGUGUGGAAGUCCUUGAAAAGCAGCAGCUCCCAUGCAGGGGUGGCCUCGAGGAGUGGCCCCACAGUGGACAGCACCUACCUGCUCUUGCUCAUCACGGCUGCUACCUCUGAGCCCAUGCAGGAAAGGGCACGGGCUGCAGCCACCUCUCAGACCACGGGCACCACAUGGGAUGCCGGGCAUGGGGCCUGCUCCCUCUAGCAGCUCCUGGCAUCAGAACAGCCCAUGGGGCCUGGUGAGGUCUGACCACAGGUUGUGGGCAGCGGGUCUUCUAGCUCCACCGGGAACCCCAACCUAGGCCUGGGUCAAAGGUGCCAGUGUGCCCAGACCGCCUGCACCAGCUGCAGCUUCUCAUGGGAACAGGCACACCCUCAGCCUUGACACUCCCACCUCCCUACUGACCUGUACAGCCGCUGACCUGCCUUGGGACUCUGGGGGGCUGCCCCAGCUGCUGGCCCUCAACUCCAGGCACUGCCCUGUGCCCACCACCCACUUGGUCCUGGCCCAGCUCAGCACCAGGCAUCUGAACCUGAGCCCAGGCACAGCAGUGCAGGAGGAGUUGGGGUGGGGGCUGCUCUUCUCCGAAUCCCCCAGCUGGUUGGGUCCUUCUAGGCAGGCCUCACCUCGAGGAGAGCUGGAUUCCCACUCUGGGGUGAGGGGCCAGGUGGAGGGGCAUCAGGCAGGGUGAGGAAGGGGACCUCCCCAUCCACAGAGCCUUCACUCCAGAGUGACAAUGCCCCACCCCUGCCCCCCUGCCCACGUUUUUAAUUUUGAGAAGUAGUUUUGCCCUUGUUGCCCAGGCUGGAGUGCAAUGGUGUGAUCUCAGCUCACUGCCACCUCUGCCUCUGGAGUUCAAGAGAUUCUCCUGCCUCAGCCUCCUGAGUAGCUGGGACUACAAACGCCUACCACUACACCCGGCUAAUUUUUGGCAUAUUUAGUAGAGACGGGGUUUCACCAUGCCGGCCAGGCUGGUCUUGAACUUGUGACCUGGUGAUCUGCCUGCCUCAGCCUCCCAAAGUGCUGGGAUUACUUACAGGCGUGAGCCACCGCGCCUGCCUGGCCUGCGUUUGAGUGGAGGUCUUUCGUUUUCUGAAAGCUGGGGGAAGCAGGUGGGCUCCAUGCAGGAGCGGGUUGGGAGCCACCUGGAGCUGGACUUUCCGCUGGGCUGCUCUGGCUGGUGGUGCGAUGCCCCCGAGGAGCCUGCCUGGGGGCGUGGCCCUGAGGGGCGUGGGCGUUGCCUGUUGGUGGGU